CUGAUGCCCUGAGCCUCAUUUCCCAGAAGCACAGGAAGCAGGAAGUUCCUCCAGGCGGCAGCCAUGACCAUCCCAGGGCUGGAAAGGCCCACACACUUCAGUGUACUUCGCCUUUUUCCAGUUGUUAUCCCCCUAAAAGAACUCAGUGACAUGGCCUGUGUAAAAUAAUUUGGAAUGAUCUCUCUGUAACUUAAUUAUAAUAGGACGUCAUCUACUUGUGAAAACUUUUUGUGUCUUUUGCAUUUAAUCAGUUAGAGAUGUCUGGUUACCUAUAGCACUGUUCUUUUAAAAAAAUAAAAAUUAUUUAACUGCAUUAAAAUAAAUGGAAGGCAUUACAUAUUUGAAAACUGGGGAAAUUUAUUUCCUUUGGUGCAGCCUGGUUACCAAAUAAAAUGAGUCUAAUCUGCUUCUCCUA